rnacentral:rRNA from 1 species
CCUACGGGAGGUUGCAGUGGGGAAUAUUGGACAAUGGGGGGAACCCUGAUCCAGCCAUGCCGCGUGUGUGAAGAAGGCCCUCGGGUUGUAAAGCACUUUCAGUGAGGAAGAACGCCUGGUGGUUAAUACCCAUCAGGAAAGACAUCACUCACAGAAGAAGCACCGGCUAACUCCGUGCCAGCAGCCGCGGUAAUACGGAGGGUGCGAGCGUUAAUCGGAAUUACUGGGCGUAAAGCGCGCGUAGGUGGCUUGAUAAGCCGGUUGUGAAAGCCCCGGGCUCAACCUGGGAACGGCAUCCGGAACUGUCAAGCUAGAGUGCAGGAGAGGAAGGUAGAAUUCCCGGUGUAGCGGUGAAAUGCGUAGAGAUCGGGAGGAAUACCAGUGGCGAAGGCGGCCUUCUGGACUGACACUGACACUGAGGUGCGAAAGCGUGGGUAGCAAACAGGAUUAGAUACCCUAGUAGUC